rnacentral:rRNA from 1 species
ACAGAAGAGCUUGCUCCUUGGGUGACGAGUGGCGGACGGGUGAGUAAUGUCUGGGAAACUGCCUGAUGGAGGGGGAUAACUACUGGAAACGGUAGCUAAUACCGCAUAACGUCGCAAGACCAAAGAGGGGGACCUUCGGGCCUCUUGCCAUCAGAUGUGCCCAGAUGGGAUUAGCUAGUAGGUGGGGUAACGGCUCACCUAGGCGACGAUCCCUAGCUGGUCUGAGAGGAUGACCAGCCACACUGGAACUGAGACACGGUCCAGACUCCUACGGGAGGCAGCAGUGGGGAAUAUUGCACAAUGGGCGCAAGCCUGAUGCAGCCAUGCCGCGUGUAUGAAGAAGGCCUUCGGGUUGUAAAGUACUUUCAGCGGGGAGGAAGGUGUUGUGGUUAAUAACCACAGCAAUUGACGUUACCCGCAGAAGAAGCACCGGCUAACUCCGUGCCAGCAGCCUCGGUAAUACGGAGGGUGCAAGCGUUAAUCGGAAUUACUGGGCGUAAAGCGCACGCAGGCGGUCUGUCAAGUCGGAUGUGAAAUCCCCGGGCUCAACCUGGGAACUGCAUUCGAAACUGGCAGGCUGGAGUCUCGUAGAGGGAGGUAGAAUUCCAGGUGUAGCGGUGAAAUGCGUAGAGAUCUGGAGGAAUACCGGUGGCGAAGGCGGCCUCCUGGACGAAGACUGACGCUCAGGUGCGAAAGCGUGGGGAGCAAACAGGAUUAGAUACCCUGGUAGUCCACGCUGUAAACGAUGUCGAUUUGGAGGUUGUGCCCUUGAGGCGUGGCUUCCGGAGCU